rnacentral:rRNA from 1 species
AGGACGAACGCUGGCGGCGCGCUUAACACAUGCAAGUCGAGCGAGAACCAGUCCUUCGGGACUGGGGACAGCGGCGAACGGGUGAGUAACACGUGGGUAAUCUGCCCUCGAUUCUGGGAUAGCCCGGGGAAACCCGGAUUAAUACCGGAUAGCCUCUCGAGCUUUCGAGCUCGUGAGAAAAGGUAGCUUCGGCCUCCGAUCGAGGAUGAGCCCGCGGCGGAUUAGCUUGUGGUGGGGUAAUGGCCUACCAAGGCGACGAUCCGUAGCUGGUCUGAGAGGACGAUCAGCCACACUGGGACUGAGACACGGCCCAGACUCCUACGGGAGGCAGCAGUGGGAAUCUGCGCAAUGGGCGAAAGCCUGACGCAGCGACGCCGCGUGGGGGAAGAAGGCCUUCGGGUUGUAAACCGUCUUUCGAGCAGGACGAAGCCGACUCGGUUAAUAGCCCAGAGGUGACGGUACCUGCAGAAGAACGCCCGAGUAACACGUGCCAGCCGAGCCG